ACGCUGGCGGCGUGCCUAACACAUGCAAGUCGAACGAGGUCCAUGCAGUGGCAACACUGCGGAAGACCUAGUGGCGAACGGUGAGUAACACGUGAGGAACCUGCCCCGAAGACCGGGAUAACCCUCCGAAAGGAGAGCUAAUACCGGAUACCCCCACCGGAUCGCAUGAUCUGGUGAGGAAAUGGAUUCCGCUUCGGGAGGGCCUCGCGGCCUAUCAGCUUGUUGGUGGGUAACGGCCCACCAAGGCAUCGACGGGUAGCUGGUCUGAGAGGACGAUCAGCCACACUGGGACUGAGACACGGCCCAGACUCCUACGGGAGGCAGCAGUGGGGAAUCUUGCGCAAUGGGCGAAAGCCUGACGCAGCAACGCCGCGUGGGGGAUGAAGGCUCUCGGGUUGUAAAACCCCUUUCAGCAGGGACGAAUCAAGACGGUACCUGCAGAAGAAGCCCCGGCUAACUACGUGCCAGCAGCCGCGGUAACACGUAGGGGGCAAGCGUUGUCCGG
rnacentral:rRNA from 1 species